rnacentral:rRNA from 1 species
AUUGAACGCUGGCGGCAGGCCUAACACAUUCAAGUCGAACGAGUGGCUGACGGGUGAGUAAUAUCUCGGAAACUGCCUAAUGGAGGGGGAUAACUACUGGACACGGUAGCUAAUAACGCAUACCAUCAGCUGUCCCCAUAUGGGAUUAUCUAGUAGGUUGGUUAAAGGCUCACCUAGGCGACGAUCCGUAGCUGGUCUGAGAGGAUGACCAGCCACACUGGUACUUCGACACGGGCCAGACUCCGACGGGAGGCAGCAGUGGGGAAUAUUGAACAAUGGGCGCAAGCCUGAUGCAGCCAGUCCGCGUGUAUGAAGAAGGCCUUCGGGUUGUAAAGUACUUUUAGCUGAGAGGCGUUACCCGCAGAAUAAGCACAGGCUAACUACGUGCCAGCAGCCGCGGUAAUAC